rnacentral:rRNA from 1 species
UUCUAUUACUAUAAUUAAUAGUAAGAUCUGCUCAAUGAUAAUUAAAUAGCCGCCUUGGUUGUGCUAAGGUAGCAUAAUCAUUUGUCUUUUAAAUGAAGACUAGAACAAAGGAUUUAACAUUUUAAUAAAUAUUACUUUUAAAAUUCUUCUAAAUUAUCUUAAAAGUAAAAAGGCAUUUAUAAAAAAGAAAGACGACAAGACCCUAUUGAACUUAACUUAAGUUAUACUGGGGUAGUUAAAAAAUAAAUAUUUUAAUUUAUUAAAUUAAAUAAAAGAUCUAGUAAUAUUAAAAUAAUCAAGUUACCAUAGGGAUAACAGCGUAAUAUUUUUCUAAAGAUCUUAUAACAAUAUAAGUUUACGACCUCGAUGUUGAAUUAAUAACCUAAUUAAAGCAAAAUUUAACCAAGGAAGUCUGUUCGACUUUUAAAAAUUU